rnacentral:rRNA from 1 species
UACGGAGGGUGCAAGCGUUAUCCGGAUUUAUUGGGUUUAAAGGGUCCGUAGGCGGAUCGUUAAGUCAGUAAUGAAAGCCUACCGCUCAACAAUAGAACUGCCAUUGAUACUAACAAUCUUGAAUAUGUAUGAAGUUAACGGAAUGUGUGGUGUAGCAAUGAAAUGCUUAAAUAUCACACAAAACACCGAUUGCGAAAACAGCUGACUAAUACAUGAUUGACGCUAAAAAACGAAAGUGUAAAGAUCAAACAGG